CCCGGGCGGUUGUCCCCGUCUCCGCCGGUGAGGAGGUGUGGAGGCGCCUCACCGCGAGGGCUAUUAGCCACCCGCCCCUCACCGCCCCUAGCCGGGAAGCGCCGGCACCGCCCCGGCGAAGUCAGGGACAGCCGCGGACUUGUGUGCCUCGCAGCCUCGGCUUUGGAUUUUAAGGGCACGGAGGAGAGAAUUAACCGCGCCGCAAGGAAAUUCACUGAAGAUGGUUUCAAGAUGUAGAAUCCUUAUAGACGAAAUAUCGCAAAUGAAGUUUGGGAAUCUUUGUUGAAAUUGCUUCGCAUUAUGGCAUUGAACAGUUCCACUGGAAAGCUGUGUCAUGAACUGCAAGAGCUCCUGAAAUAUCCAGUGGGUUUUUAAUCAUCAGAGCCCAGUAAUAAUGUUAUGAGAAGAAGAUCAGAAAAGAAUACAGCAAGUGGCCACCACCAUCAUGAGGAUCCCAAAAAUUCAAACUGGUAAAGUGAGAAAAGACAGAAUGCAGCCUCAAGGAGUGAAAGAAUGUGUUAGCUGUAUUCAGAUAUUUGAAGGAGUCCUAUAUGGAUGAUGGAUAUACUGUGGCAUUAUGUUUCCAAGUGAUUAAGAAAAAGACAAAAGACUCAAGGAAAUACUUCAAGCUGCAUAUAAAGAGAAACAUGUCUUUCAAAACGCAGAGGUACAUUUCACGCAGUUGCCUUGUGGGACUUUGAGAGAUGCUGCAGCCCGUGACAUGUGGGAAUUAUCAUGAUCAACUACUCAGUUUGGAUUUCACCCAGUGGCCAAGAGCCUUGCAUACUAAAUAGCAAGGGUUGGAUUUUUAAAAAGAGUGAACCAGGCCCGUGACCAAGGCGUAGACACAGAAGUGGAGUCAUGCUUCACACGGCCGUGUCAUGCUGGCAGCCAUUCCUGGGUCUGGCUGUGCUGUUGAUCUUCAUGGGAUCCACCAUUGGCUGCCCUGCCCGCUGUGAGUGCUCUGCCCAGAACAAAUCUGUUAGCUGCCACAGAAGGCGUUUGAUUGCCAUCCCAGAGGGCAUUCCCAUUGAGACCAAGAUCUUAGACCUCAGCAAGAACAGGCUGAAGAGCAUCAAUCCCGAAGAAUUUAUAUCAUACCCUCUGCUGGAAGAAAUAGACUUAAGUGACAACAUCAUCGCCAAUGUGGAACCAGGAGCAUUUAACAAUCUCUUUAACCUGCGUUCGCUCCGCUUAAAAGGCAAUCGCUUGAAGUUGGUUCCUUUAGGAGUAUUCACGGGGCUGUCCAACCUUACUAAGCUCGACAUUAGUGAGAAUAAGAUUGUCAUUUUACUGGACUACAUGUUUCAGGAUCUGCAUAACCUGAAGUCUCUAGAAGUGGGAGACAACGAUUUGGUUUACAUAUCACACAGGGCCUUCAGUGGGCUACUUAGCUUGGAACAGCUCACCCUGGAGAAAUGCAAUUUAACAGCAGUGCCAACAGAAGCCCUCUCCCACCUUCGCAGCCUCAUCAGCCUGCACCUGAAGCAUCUUAAUAUCAACAAUAUGCCCGUGUAUGCCUUUAAAAGAUUAUUCCACCUGAAACACCUAGAGAUUGAUUACUGGCCUUUACUGGAUAUAAUGCCUGCCAAUAGCCUCUAUGGUCUCAACCUCACAUCCCUGUCAGUCACUAACACUAACCUGUCCACUGUACCCUUCCUUGCCUUUAAACACCUGGUAUACCUGACCCACCUUAACCUCUCCUACAAUCCCAUCAGCACUAUUGAAGCAGGCAUGUUCUCUGACCUGAUCCGCCUUCAAGAGCUUCAUAUAGUGGGGGCCCAGCUCCGCACCAUUGAACCUCACUCAUUCCAAGGGCUCCGCUUUCUGCGUGUGCUCAAUGUGUCUCAGAACCUGCUGGAAACUUUGGAAGAGAAUGUCUUCUCCUACCCUCGAGCUUUGGAGGUCUUGAGCAUUAAUAAUAACCCACUGGCCUGUGACUGUCGUCUCCUCUGGAUCCUGCAGAGACAGCCCACCCUGCAGUUUGGUGGCCAGCAACCCAUGUGUGCUGGUCCAGACACCAUCCGCGAGAGAUCUUUCAAGGAUUUUCACAGCACUGCCCUUUCUUUUUACUUUACUUGCAAAAAACCCAAAAUCCGUGAAAAGAAGUUGCAGCACGUGCUUGUAGAUGAAGGACAGACCGUCCAGCUAGAAUGCAAUGCUGAUGGAGACCCACAGCCUGUGAUUUCCUGGGUGACACCUAGAAGGCGUUUUAUCACCACCAAGUCCAACGGGAGAGCCACCGUGUUGGGUGAUGGCACAUUGGAAAUCCGCUUUGCCCAGGAUCAAGACAGUGGGAUGUAUGUUUGCAUCGCUAGCAAUGCUGCUGGGAAUGACACCUUCACAGCCUCCUUAACAGUGAAAGGAUUCACUUCCGAUCGCUUCCUAUACGCAAAUAGGACCCCUAUGUACAUGACCGACUCCAAUGACACUAUUUCCAAUGGCACCAAUGCUAAUACGUUUUCCCUGGACCUUAAAACAAUACUGGUAUCUACAGCCAUGGGCUGUUUCACAUUCCUGGGAGUGGUUUUAUUUUGUUUUCUCCUCCUUUUUGUGUGGAGCCGAGGGAAAGGCAAGCACAAAAACAGCAUUGACCUUGAAUAUGUGCCCCGCAAAAACAAUGGUGCUGUUGUGGAAGGGGAGGUGGCUGGACCCAGGAGGUUCAACAUGAAAAUGAUUUGAGGGUCUACCACUGUCACUACUGUCCCUGUGUUACUGUUGGUAAUCAGUACGACAGUCUGGCACAAUAAAUCACUAGGCUGAGAGGCAGCUUCAUGAAGCUGCCCCUGUGUCAAAGCAGGGUCCACGGAAGCAGGAGGACUUCUUAUGGAGACUCUCCAUCUAGAGGCAGGCAGGCAUGUGUCAGAGCCCUUCACACAGUGGGAUACUCAUUGUUUGCAUUGCAAAUACUGGCAUUCUGGGGAUCUCAGUAAUGAACCUGAACCUUUGGCUCAUGCUCACAGACAAUUAUUCAGCAUUUUCUACCACUGCAAAAACAAAAGAAAAAAAUAAGAACAACCUACAGUGUAGGAUUUACAUAUUAAAGACACAUUUGUCUAAAACAAACUCUACAGAAAAUUUUGUAUCUAUGAUUAUCAUUUGUUAACGCCUUGCAUCAUACCAUACUGUUGGAUCAGCACCAAAAAGAUAUCAAUAUAUUCUUUACUUUUCUUUUUAAACAUAUAUGCUGUAUAUGUUUUAAAGCAAUAUGAAUGAGAGGUUGUGCUUUUAGUUAUUCACCACUGUAGAUCCAAGUGUGAUUUCACCUUCCUUUACUUACAGAUCAGCUUGAGACUAGAUCCCUGGAGUAAUGGGCAGAGAUGUGUUGAGAGAUAUGUAUGUCUGAUGUAGGAUGCCAAGAAACAGGACCUGAGGCAAAACUGCUCGACUCUGUUAACUCUGUUACCAUAAAUAAAGGCAUGUGCCUAGUUUUGAUACAGAAUGGAAUAUUUUUUAUACUUAAUAAUAUCACACUGGACCAAUUUACUGUAACAAAGCCCUUGAUUUCUCCUGAAGGAGAUGUGUCACUAGAUGUCCCUGUAAAGUGCAAGAUCAAGGUUGAUCUCAAAUAACUGAAACCAUGAAAACAAAACCAUGGAUAGAGGGAAGCACGCACUAGUUCCUCUGAGACAGCUCAAAGAUGAAAGCUUUGUCAUUCCCACCAUUCCUGCCUUCUUUCCUGAUGCCACAACUGAAAUGACCCUUGAUUCUCCUACCUGCCUGUUUACUGCUGUCGUCUCUGAGCUCCUGUCAGGCCUUAUGAAUGCAUGCAUCCUCCAGGGAUCCGUCUUCUAUCAUUGGCACUCAGAAAUUCUUGGGUAAUUGUUAAACUGGAAAUUGCUUUUUGGAAAAAAAAAAAAAAACACUCCAGCCUAUCUCAUAUAACACUUUAAAAGUGAAGACUUACCUUUCACAUAAUCACAAGCAAUCUGCAGGGUGAAUGAUCUGAUUUUUUUUCUCUUCCAGAAGCAGGUGGGUUGAUAUAAUGCCAGCCUUAAAUAGGAAGAUUUAUUUAUAGCCUUAGCAGAAUGAAAAAAAGAGCUGGCAUAAUCAAGAGAGUACUUCACAUUUUAAGGAAGAAUCUACCCUUAGUAUGCUAAAUUGCCAUUAGGAGAUAACAAAAAUGCAAAUUUAUAUUCUUUAGAUUGGUUAACUAUAUUAAUCCCAAUAAAGUUCAAAUGGUUAACUCUCCUGGCUAUACAAAAUAGGUCAGAUUUUACACUUGAUCUAACAGACCAAAAGUAUUUUAAAAAUUUAAAAAGCAGAAUAUUACUAUAUUAAUUUUUUUCAUUUUGUUGCACACCUCCCAUCCUGAAUUGCUUUAAUCUACACUUCAAUAUAAUCAAUACAAUCUACAAAUUAUAAUCAACAGAAAUAAAGCAGAAGACUAACUCAGAUUUUCAAAAACCUCUCUCAUUCCUUAUAACAGUAUACGUGCAGCCACAUACUGACUCAGACGUACAUCUUUGUGACAGUGCCAGAUUGAAAAUGAGCCAUGAGAAAACUAAAUGCUAUUUGUAGGAAAACGUACUCUCUUCUUCCAGUGAUAAAAUCAGAUGCAUCAUACACAUCUGGUCACUUGAUGUACAAGAUACUUGUCUUCAUGUGUUUUAUCCAUUAGGUAUAGAAUGCCCCAAAUCAUAAUAAAAAAAAAAACUAUUGUUUAUAUAUACAUAUAUAAAUAUGUGGGG